rnacentral:misc_RNA from 1 species
UGUGGGAGCUGGCUUGCCUGCGAUAGCGGUGUGUCAGUCACAUCCUCAUCUACUGACCCACCGCUAUCGCAGGCAAGCCAGCUCCCACA